AUUGAACGCUGGCGGCAUGCCUUACACAUGCAAGUCGGACGGUAACGCGGGGCAACCUGGCGACGAGUGGCGAACGGGUGAGUAAUAUAUCGGAACGUGCCCAAAUAGUGGGGGAUAGCCCGGCGAAAGCCGGAUUAAUACCGCAUGAGACCUGAGGGUGAAAGCGGGGGAUCGCAAGACCUCGCGCUAUUGGAGCGGCCGAUAUCAGAUUAGGUAGUUGGUGGGGUAAAGAC
rnacentral:rRNA from 1 species